rnacentral:rRNA from 2 species
UGCAGUCGAGCGAAUGGAUUGAGAGCUUGCUCUCAAGAAGUUAGCGGCGGACGGGUGAGUAACACGUGGGUAACCUGCCCAUAAGACUGGGAUAACUCCGGGAAACCGGGGCUAAUACCGGAUAAUAUUUUGAACUGCAUGGUUCGAAAUUGAAAGGCGGCUUCGGCUGUCACUUAUGGAUGGACCCGCGUCGCAUUAGCUAGUUGGUGAGGUAACGGCUCACCAAGGCAACGAUGCGUAGCCGACCUGAGAGGGUGAUCGGCCACACUGGGACUGAGACACGGCCCAGACUCCUACGGGAGGCAGCAGUAGGGAAUCUUCCGCAAUGGACGAAAGUCUGACGGAGCAACGCCGCGUGAGUGAUGAAGGCUUUCGGGUCGUAAAACUCUGUUGUUAGGGAAGAACAAGUGCUAGUUGAAUAAGCUGGCACCUUGACGGUACCUAACCAGAAAGCCACGGCUAACUACGUGCCAGCAGCCGCGGUAAUACGUAGGUGGCAAGCGUUAUCCGGAAUUAUUGGGCGUAAAGCGCGCGCAGGUGGUUUCUUAAGUCUGAUGUGAAAGCCCACGGCUCAACCGUGGAGGGUCAUUGGAAACUGGGAGACUUGAGUGCAGAAGAGGAAAGUGGAAUUCCAUGUGUAGCGGUGAAAUGCGUAGAGAUAUGGAGGAACACCAGUGGCGAAGGCGACUUUCUGGUCUGUAACUGACACUGAGGCGCGAAAGCGUG